GACGUAGGGCGCGAGCGUUGUCCGGAUUUAUUGGGCGUAAAGAGCUCGUAGGCGGCUCGUUGCGUCGGCUGUGAAAACCCGCAGCUCGACUGUGGGCUUGCAGCUGAUACGGGCGGGCUGGGAUUCGGUAGGGGAGACUGGAAUUCCUGGUGUAGCGGUGAAAUGCGCAGAUAUCAGGAGGAACACCGGUGGCGAAGGCGGGUCUCUGGGCCGAUAUCGACGCUGAGGAGCGAAAGCGUGGGGAGCGAACAGG
rnacentral:rRNA from 1 species